rnacentral:lncRNA from 1 species
GGCCCCCUCAUGCUACCUCGUGCAAUCCGCUUCCCCUUCCGCCAUUCUCUCUCUACCGCGCAGCUCUCUAUCUGUCUCCCCGUCUGGCCCUCCUUCUCGCUCCUCGAAUCCCUUUUCUCCUCCAAACCCUCGAGACAAUGUCUUCUUGAGGCCCCGUUCUUGCUUCGCUGUGCGUGAGAUCGCAUUGCAGUGUUCGAGUCAGAGGAUGCCGCAGAUAUGCCUCUCUCCUCCGCGCGGCCCUUCUUGGAUGGGCUUCUCCCCCUUGGCUUCGGUGAGUUCCCUAGGUGUUUUGGAUGCAAUUUAUGGUUUGAUUUCGUCGCAUCAAGACAAGGUAUAUAUUAGUGUGGAUUAUUAAUCUAGAAGGAAAGGUCAGCCUACAGGGUUUCCUUUUUAUCCUUUCGAGUGUCGUUUCAAAUCUGUAAGAAUUAAGGUUAUAAGAGAAGGAAAAGCAUUCUGAUUUUGGAUUAUUCUUGCCAGAUGUCCGCAAAAAACCUAGAAAGCUACCGAUUAUCGUGAAAAAUCUUCUUGUUUACCCUAACGAAUAUUGAGGU